CCUUGUUGACCGGUUUCAAGUGAAGGGAAGUAAAAUGUCGGCGAUGGAUGGGAUGGGCCUCUUAUUGUGCUUUUAAAAUAACAAUAUCUCAACCUGUAAUACUGCAUUUUAAACGUAAAUUGCAUGUUUUAGAAAAUAAAGGGUAGUUGAAGAUUGUGGAUUUACACGGACAAAACAUAUAACGGGAUCUAAGGAAUUUAGCGCAUGUAUUUGACUGGUGUAGCUAGGAGACAGAGAAAGACUCCAGCGAAGAGGAGACAGAUAAGGAUGAAGAAAGGAGUAGGACAAGGUUGAGGUGUUACCAAUUGCGAUAGGGAGAGCCCAGAUGACGAGCCUAGUGAGCUGGGAGCUGUCAUUACUGCAACCCCCGAAACGCUUCCCUGCCUGGUCUAUCUUCACUGCUCUCCACAGCAUCUCCUUGAUAG